UACGUAGGGUGCAAGCGUUAAUCGGAAUUACUGGGCGUAAAGCAUGCGCAGGCGGUUUGUAAGUCUGUCGUGAAAUCCCCGGGCUCAACCUGGAGUAGUCGAUGGAGACUGCAAGGCUAGAGUUUGGCAGAGGGGGGGGUAGAAUUCCACGUGUAGCAGUGAAAUGCGUAGAUAUGUGGAGGAACACCGAUGGACGAAGGCAGCCCCCUGGGUCAAAACUGACGCUCAUGCACGAAAGCGUGGGAGCAAACAGG
rnacentral:rRNA from 1 species